GUCGAGAAUAAUUCACAAUGGACGAAAGUCUGAUGGUGCAACGCCGCGUGGAGGAUGAAGGUCUUCGGAUUGUAAACUCCUGUCAUCGGGGAGUAAGACCUGGCGGUAAAUAGCCGACAGGGUUGAUAGUACCCGAAGAGGAAGGGACGGCUAACUUCGUGCCAGCAGCCGCGGUAAUACGAAGGUCCCAAGCGUUGUUCGGAAUCACUGAGCGUAAAGGGAGCGUAGGCGGCGUGGUAAGUCAGAUGUGAAAUCCCGGGGCUCAACCCCGGAACUGCAUCCGAUACUGCCAUGCUUGAGGGUUGGAGAGGUAGCUGGAAUUCUCGGUGUAGCAGUGAAAUGCGUGGAUAUCGAGAGGAACACUCGUGGCGAAGGCGAGCUACUGGACAACAUCUGACGCUGAGGCUCGAAGGCCAGGGGAGCAAAAGGGAUUAGAUACCCCGGUAGUCC
rnacentral:rRNA from 1 species